UACGAAGGGGGCUAGCGUUGCUCGGAAUCACUGGGCGUAAAGCGCACGUAGGCGGCGCAGCAAGUCAGGGGUGAAAUCCCGGAGCUCCACUCCGGAACUGCCUUUGAAACUGCAGUGCUAGAAUCCUGGAGAGGCGAGUGGAAUUCCGAGUGUAGAGGUGAAAUUCGUAGAUAUUCGGAAGAACACCAGUGGCGAAGGCGACUCGCUGGACAGGUAUUGACGCUGAGGUGCGAAAGCGUGGGGAGCAAACAGG
rnacentral:rRNA from 1 species